rnacentral:rRNA from 1 species
UACAGAGGGGGCAAGCGUUGUUCGGAAUUACUGGGCGUAAAGGGCGCGUAGGCGGCCUUCUAAGUCAGACGUGAAAUCCCUCGGCUCAACCGGGGAACUGCGUCUGAGACUGGAAGGCUUGAAUCCGGGAGAGGGAUGUGGAAUUCCAGGUGUAGCGGUGAAAUGCGUAGAUAUCUGGAGGAACACCCGUGGCGAAGGCGGCAUCCUGGACCGGCAUUGACGCUGAGGAGCGAAAGCCAGGGGAGCAAACGGG